rnacentral:rRNA from 1 species
GACGAACGCUGGCGGCGUGCCUAAUACAUGCAAGUCGAGCGAUGCGGGGACGGGGGCGUAACGCUGGGAUAACCUCGUAUACGUCUGGAUUAACUUCGGGAAACAGGUGCUAAACCUGAUAUUCAUAGAUGGAUCCGCGCUGCAUUAGCUAGUGGGUAAGGUAACGGCUAACUAAGGCAACGAUGCAUAGCCGACCUGAGAGGGUGAUCGGCAACACUGGAACUGAGACACGGCCCAGACUCCUACGGGAGGCAGCAGUAGGGAAUCUUCAGCAAUGGACGAAAGCCUGACGGAGCAACGCCGCGUGAGUGAUGAAGGUCUUCGGAUCGUAAAACUCUGUUAUUAGGGAAGCGGUACCUAAUCAGAAAGCCACGGCUAACUACGUGCCAGCAGCCGCGGUAAUUC